rnacentral:lncRNA from 10 species
GACAUGCAAUCUGAUAGAAUGGUGAAAUAAUGCUUGCAAGAAACAUAUUCCACAAGCGUUUGGGCAAUAAGAAGUUACAAAAAAAGUGGCCUAAAAUAACAAUACAUUAUUUGACUCGCUAUGCUGAAGAUUUGCUCUGCUAGAUGUUUUCUCUGAUCUUGGCUAGAAUUCCUCAUGGAUCUGUGGUCAUUUGUGCAUCAGGAGUCAAGCCUAGCUUAUUGAAGUUACAGGGACAGGAUGCCAAAAGAGCAAGUGGAGGCACCCAGAAAUUCUGGAAGAUGAACUCUGCCACUUUCUUGCAGUCAAAAUAUGGCACAAGACCACCCAUAAUCAAGGGGUGAGGAUGUUCUACCUCUUGAUGGAAGAAGGUGAGAAGCCAUUGAUCAUGGUCACCAUUGCCUCCCAAUUCACCACAGAAGUCAUCUCAGGUCUCUGUUUGUUUUUAUUUAUUUGUUUUUGAGGGAUCCAUCACCUUGAGUAUUUAUCAUUUCUACCUGUUGGGAACAUUUUAAGACCUCUCUUCUACCUACUUUGAAUACAAUAAAUUGUUGAUAAUUAUAUUCACCCUACUCUGCUAUAGAACACUAGAACCAAUUUCUUCCUUCUAACCGUAUGUUUGUACUCAUUAACCAUCCUCUCUUCAUCGCCCCCUACCCACAUACACACACUCAUCCUUUUCAGCAUUUCUUAAUUAUUGUUGUACUCUUUAUCUCCAUAAGAUCAACUUUUUUAGCUCCCACAUAUAAGUGAGAACAAACAGUAUUUGUCAUUCUAUGCCUGGCUUAUUUGACUUAACAUAAUGACCUCCAAUUCCAUUCACAUUGCUGCUUUGAGGGUUUUCAUCAUGGAGGGAUGUUGAAUUUAUCAAUUCUUUUUCCCCAACAGUUAAAAUUAUCAUAUAAUUUUUAUCCUUCAUUCUAUUAAUAUAAUGUAUCCCAUUGAUUGAUUUGCAUAUGUUGAAUCAUUUUUGCAUCUUGGGGAUGAUGAACUUGAUAAUGAUGAAUGAUCUUUCUAUUGUAUUGCUGAAUUAAAUUUUGUAGUAUUACGUUGAGAAUUUUUGUAUCAUCAUUCACCAAACACAUUUGCCUACAUUUUUAUUUUUUAUAUGUCUUUGUCUGGUUCUGUUAUCAGUGUAAUAUGGGCCUUGUAGAAUUAAUUUAGAAAUAUUAUCUCUUCCUCUUUUUUUGAAACAUUUGAGUAGACUUGGUGUUGGUUAUUCUUUAAAUAUUUGGUAGAAUUCAGCAGUGAAUCCAUUGGGCAACAGGAUUUUCUUUACUGACAGACUUUUUGUUACAGCUUCACUAUUGCUACUUGUUAUUUAUUUGUGAAUGUUUUGGAUUUCUUCAUGGUUCAGUCUUUGAAGGUUGUAUGUAUCCAGGAAUUUAUACAUUUGUUCUUCUGACUUUUCCAUUUAUUGGUAUGUACUUGCUUAUAGUAACCACUAAUGUUCCUUUAAAUGUCUGCACUAUUAGUUGUAAUAGCUCUUUCUUAUCUCUGGUUUUAUUUAUUUGGGUCUUCAUUCUUUCUAAGUCUGGAAAAAGGUUUGCCAAUGUUGUUUAACUUUUCAGAAGACAAACUUUUUAUUUAGUUGAUCUUUUGUGUUGUUUUCUUUAUUUCAAUUUUAUUUGUUUCUGCUCUGAUUAUUAUUAUUUUUUCUCCUAAUUUGGGGGUUUAUUUGCUCUUGCCUUUCUAGUUAUUUCAGAUGCAUUGUCAGGUUAUUUGAUGUUUUUCCUAUUUUUCUGAUGUAGGCACUUAUAGGUAUAAAAUUCCCUCUUAGAGCUGCUUUUGCUGUAUCUCAAAAAGUUUACUUUGUUACAUUUUCAUUAUCAUUUGUUUAAAAAAUUUUCAAUUUUAUUUUUAGUUUUUUUAUUGACCCACUGGUCUUUCAGGAUCAUAUUGUUUAAUUUCUAUGUAUUUGUAUAGUUUCCAAAAUUUCUCUUGUUACUUUAGUUUUAUUGCACUGUAUUCAUAGAAGAUGCUUGAUAUUAUUUUAUUUUUGUGAAUGCUAUAUGACUUGUUUUGUGUCAUAACAUAUGGCCUGUCCUUGAGAAUGAUCCACGUACUCAGGAGAAAAAACUGUCAAUUCUGAAGCAUUUAAAAAAGUUUUCUUUAAGUAUCUACUAGGUACUUUUGUUCUAUACUGCCCAUUAAGUUCAAUGUUUCUUCAUUGUUUUCCUGUCCAGGAGAUGUGUCCAAUGCUGAAAGUUGGGUGUUGAAUCUCUAGCUAUUUUUGUAUUGGUGUUGAUCACUCUCUGUAGCUCUAAUAAUGUUUGCUUUGCAUAUUUGGGUGCUCCACGGUAGGGUGUAUAUAUAUUUACAAUUGUUUUAUCCUCCUGUUGAAUUGAUCACUUCUUCAUAGUAAAAUAACCUACUAUGUCUCUUCUUAUAUAUUUGUCUUGAAAUAUAUUUUGA